GCCAGAACGCUGGAGGUAAACUCUGGCUGGGGGUAAACUCUUCAUUCUCUGGAAUUCAACCUGACCCCUUGGCUUUCUGAAUUUCUGGCCACCUUCACUGCUCGACAUCUGGCCUGAUGGCCAGGUUGCUAGGCAACACAGGAAGAGCACUGUGAAUGUGCGUUAAGCGUUAACUCCCAUCAUUUGACUUUUUAGCGUGGAGCAAGAAGGAAGGAGACAGGAAAACGGCUGUCCCAGAAGGAACAUUUUCUUUCCUCUCCUGCAGGACAAAGGACAGGUCUAUAAAUCUGAGAGGCAGAGGAAGCUUUGUGUCAUGGAGAAAGAAGAAACAGGAAACCUUGGCCUGGCCCGUUAGGACCGGUUAUGCCUCAGAGCAAUGGCCUUGCUCCCAAAAGGAGACCGUCCACACCCAUAAUGCGACACGCGUACCUCAGCCAGGAGCUUAGCUCGAACACGCCACUUCAGACAGCGUGGUGUUACACAAAGUAAUAACUAAUUAAACCUAGUAACCAAACCUUCAUUAUGCGUUUUAAAAAAACUAAGUGCUUAAAAAUUCCAAAUGUCUAAAGUGUAAACUAAAACACGACCAUUGUAUCAAUAAAGUCACAGG
rnacentral:lncRNA from 1 species